AGAGUUUGAUCCUGGCUCAGGAUGAACGCUAGCUACAGGCUUAACACAUGCAAGUCGAGGGGAAACGAUAUUGGAAGCUUGCUUCCGAUAGGCGUCGACCGGCGCACGGGUGAGUAACGCGUAUCCAACCUGCCCACCACUUGGGGAUAACCUUGCGAAAGUAAGACUAAUACCCAAUGACGUCUCUAGAAGACAUCUGAAAGAGAUUAAAGAUUUAUCGGUGAUGGAUGGGGAUGCGUCUGAUUAGCUUGUUGGCGGGGUAACGGCCCACCAAGGCGACGAUCAGUAGGGGUUCUGAGAGGAAGGUCCCCCACAUUGGAACUGAGACACGGUCCAAACUCCUACGGGAGGCAGCAGUGAGGAAUAUUGGUCAAUGGACGAGAGUCUGAACCAGCCAAGUAGCGUGCAGGAAGACGGCCCUAUGGGUUGUAAACUGCUUUUAUAAGGGAAUAAAGUGAGUCUCGUGAGACUUUUUGCAUGUACCUUAUGAAUAAGGACCGGCUAAUUCCGUGCCAGCAGCCGCGGUAAUACGGAAGGUCCGGGCGUUAUCCGGAUUUAUUGGGUUUAAAGGGAGCGUAGGCCGGAGAUUAAGCGUGUUGUGAAAUGUAGAUGCUCAACAUCUGAACUGCAGCGCGAACUGGUUUCCUUGAGUACGCACAAAGUGGGCGGAAUUCGUGGUGUAGCGGUGAAAUGCUUAGAUAUCACGAAGAACUCCGAUUGCGAAGGCAGCUCACUGGAGCGCAACUGACGCUGAAGCUCGAAAGUGCGGGUAUCGAACAGGAUUAGAUACCCUGGUAGUCCGCACGGUAAACGAUGGAUGCCCGCUGUUGGUCUGAAUAGGUCAGCGGCCAAGCGAAAGCAUUAAGCAUCCCACCUGGGGAGUACGCCGGCAACGGUGAAACUCAAAGGAAUUGACGGGGGCCCGCACAAGCGGAGGAACAUGUGGUUUAAUUCGAUGAUACGCGAGGAACCUUACCCGGGCUUGAAUUGCAGAGGAAGGAUUUGGAGACAAUGACGCCCUUCGGGGCCUCUGUGAAGGUGCUGCAUGGUUGUCGUCAGCUCGUGCCGUGAGGUGUCGGCUUAAGUGCCAUAACGAGCGCAACCCCUCUCCUUAGUUGCCAUCAGGU
rnacentral:rRNA from 1 species